CAUUUGGGGGGUAGUUUAUGUUGCAAGAUGGCGGAGACAUUCUCACUUACAUGUACCACCUCUUUCUCCUGGACACGUUUCUUUGUUGUACAAAGCUUCUUUAAACACUUGGCAUACUUCGGGAUUUGCUUUAUGGCAUCAAGGAGGGAAAUGUUGACAUGCACCUUUCUAAAUGUCUCUAGAACAUCUUUUUCCUCUUCGUUCUUUGAUUACAAAAAUCUGCUAGGAAAGGGGAC
rnacentral:lncRNA from 1 species